rnacentral:rRNA from 1 species
UACAGAGGUCCCAAGCGUUGUUCGGAUUCACUGGGCGUAAAGGGUGCGUAGGCGGUCGGGUAAGUCUGAUGUGAAAUCUCACAGCUUAACUGUGAAACUGCAUUGGAUACUAUCCGGCUCGAGGAAUGGAGGGGAGACUGGAAUACUUGGUGUAGCAGUGAAAUGCGUAGAUAUCAAGUGGAACACCGGUGGCGAAGGCGGGUCUCUGGGCCGAUACUGACGCUGAGGAGCGAAAGCGUGGGGAGCAAACAGG